UAUUGCACAAUGGGGGAAACCCUGAUGCAGCGACGCCGCGUGUGUGAAGAAGUAUUUCGGUAUGUAAUGCUCUAUCAGCAGGGAAGAAAGAAAGGACAGUACCUGACUAAGAAGCCCCGGCUAACUACGUGCCAGCAGCCGCGGUAAUCUGUAGGGGGCAAGCGUUAUCCGGAUUUACUGGGUGUAAAGGGAGCGUAGGCGGCGUGUCAAGUCAGAAGUGAAAGCCCGCAGCUCAACUGCGGGACUGCUUUUGAAACUGACAGGCUAGAGUGUCGGAGAGGUAAGUGGAAUUCCUAGUGUAGCGGUGAAAUGCGUAGAUAUUAGGAGGAACACCAGUGGCGAAGGCGGCUUACUGGACGAUGACUGACGCUGAGGCUCGAAAGCGUGGGGAGCAAACAGG
rnacentral:rRNA from 1 species